rnacentral:rRNA from 1 species
UCAGAUUGAACGCUGGCGGCAGGCCUAACACAUGCAAGUCGAACGGUAACAGGAAGCAGCUUGCUGCUUCGCUGACGAGUGGCGGACGGGUGAGUAAUGUCUGGGAAACUGCCUGAUGGAGGGGGAUAACUACUGGAAACGGUAGCUAAUACCGCAUAACGUCGCAAGACCAAAGAGGGGGACCUUCGGGCCUCUUGCCAUCGGAUGUGCCCAGAUGGGAUUAGCUAGUAGGUGGGGUAACGGCUCACCUAGGCGACGAUCCCUAGCUGGUCUGAGAGGAUGACCAGCCACACUGGAACUGAGACACGGUCCAGACUCCUACGGGAGGCAGCAGUGGGGAAUAUUGCACAAUGGGCGCAAGCCUGAUGCAGCCAUGCCGCGUGUAUGAAGAAGGCCUUCGGGUUGUAAAGUACUUUCAGCGGGGAGGAAGGCGAUAAGGUUAAUAACCUUGUCGAUUGACGUUACCCGCAGAAGAAGCACCGGCU